rnacentral:rRNA from 1 species
UACAGAGGGGGCAAGCGUUGUUCGGAAUUACUGGGCGUAAAGCGUGCGCAGGCGGUUCUCCAAGUCCGUUGUGAAAGCCCCGGGCUCAACCUGGGAAUGGCAGUGGAAACUAGGGGACUGGAAUCUGGCAGAGGGGGGUGGAAUGCCGCGUGUAGCAGUGAAAUGCGUAGAGAUGCGGCGGAACACCGAUGGCGAAGGCAGCCCCCUGGGCUGAGAUUGACGCUCAGGCACGAAAGCGUGGGGAGCAAACAGG